AUGAUAUCUGGUGACGGGAGGUCCCAUGGCUCCAUAGCCAUGGGAGAUGGACUUAUCCGUUGUCCUAGCACUCUCCCGGAGAUCAAGGCGCGCCAGUCGAGCUCCGCUCCUGAGAUAAGGCCUCGUGAAUGGCCAGUCCAACUCGCCAUCAAGGUUAGUUAUACGUACUCAGCUAUCUUUCUCCAUUACAUUGUGUGUGCUUCCAUCAAUGAUUACAAAUGGUCAUGUGAGUGGUGUUGCAGGCUGCUAUACAGAGUGAGAGAGAUAGAACGGAGAAACUUUUGGCGGAGGCGGAGGAGAGGCAGCGAGAGUUGGAGGAGAAGACGACAAAGAUGUUGGAGGAGGAGAGGGCACGGAAUGACAUGCAGGCAAGGGCCAUGUACGAGCUCCUUGUGUCUGUGUGUGAGAAGUCCGGUUAGACCGCUCCGCCGAUGCCAGUGA
rnacentral:rRNA from 1 species